rnacentral:tRNA from 1 species
GAAGCAGUAGCUCAGUGGUAGAGCCCCAGCCUCGCAUGCGGGGAGACCUGGGUUGGGUUCCCGGCUAAUUCC